rnacentral:rRNA from 1 species
GGUGGACGCGAGCGGCGUGCCUUAAGCAUGCAAGUCGAACGGUGAUAGCAAUAUUACAGUGGCGGACGGGUGAGUAAUACCUAGGAAUCUACCCUAAAGUGAGGAAUAACCAGCCGAAAGGUUGGCUAAUACCACAUGUGAACGCAAGUUCAAAGCUCGUAACUGGGCGCUUUUGGAGGAGCCUAGAUCCCAUCAGCUUGUUGGUAGGGUAAAAGCCUACCAAGGCUAUGACGAUCCGUAGCUGGUCUGAGAGGAUGACCAGCAUCACUGGGACUGAGACACGGCCCAGACUCCUACGGGAGGCAGCAGUGGGGAAUAUUGGACAAUGGGCGCAAGCCUGAUCCAGCCAUGCCGCGUGGAUGAUGAAGGCCCUAGGGUUGUAAAGUCCUUUUAACGGGGAAGAUAAUGACGGUACCCGUAGAAUAAGCCCCGGCUAACUUCGUGCCAGCCGCCGCCGUAA